UACGGGGGGAGCAAGCGUUGUUCGGAAUCACUGGGCGUAAAGGGCGUCUAGGCGGUUUGGUAAGUGGGAUGUGAAAUCCCCGGGCUCACCCCGGGACCUGCAUCCCAAACUGCUGAGCUUGAGUACAGGAGAGGGUGGGGGAAUUCCAGGUGUAGCGGUGAAAUGCGUAGAUAUCUGGAGGAAUACCGGUGGCGAAGGCGGCGUUCUGGACUGCAACUGACACUGAUGAACGAAAGCCAGGGGAGCAAACGGG
rnacentral:rRNA from 1 species